rnacentral:rRNA from 1 species
GGUUGCGAUCAUACCAGCACUAAUGCACUGGAUCCCAUCAGAACUCCGCAGUUAAGCGUGCCUGGGCGAGAGUAGUACUAGGAUGGGUGACCCCUGGGAAGUCCUCGUGUUGCAACUCC